rnacentral:rRNA from 1 species
UACAAAAAGUGCAAGCGUUAAUCGGAAUUACUGGGCGUAAAGCGCGCGUAGGCGGCUGAUUAAGUCGGGUGUGAAAGCCCCGGGCUCAACCUGGGAACUGCAUCCGAUACUGGUCGGCUAGAGUAUGGGAGAGGGAGGUAGAAUUCCACGUGUAGCGGUGAAAUGCGUAGAUAUGUGGAGGAAUACCGGUGGCGAAGGCGGCCUCCUGGCCUAAUACUGACGCUGAGGUGCGAAAGCGUGGGGAGCAAACCGG